CUAUUGGAGUAACCCAUCUGUCCUCAUGGAGCCUACUUUCAGAUACAAAUCGAUUCAAAUCAUCUAAUUGCUUUAGGACAGUCUUUGAACAAGUGCUCCCUCGUUUCCGCUCUCGUUUGACACCUUCAGCAAAUGGCAGAACCCAUCAACCGUCUAUAGUGUAAAUUAUUAUAGUUAGGCAGAUAGUUACGAGAGCAACGCCAAAAUGUAACUUUGAUUUUAGAUGGCAACUCAAGAUUCCAUAAUCGCUUGUAAAAUUGUUUGUAACUAUUCUGUAAUUGGUUCGGACCUUCAUGUAAAA